rnacentral:rRNA from 1 species
AUACGGAGGGUGCAAGCGUUAUCCGGAAUCAUUGGGUUUAAAGGGUCCGUAGGCGGACUAUUAAGUCAGAGGUGAAAUCCCACAGCUCAACUGUGGAACUGCCUUUGAUACUGGUAGUCUUGAGUUAUAUGGAAGUAGAUAGAAUGUGUAGUGUAGCGGUGAAAUGCAUAGAUAUUACACAGAAUACCGAUUGCGAGGGCAGUCUACUACGUAUAUACUGACGCUAAGGGACGAAAGCGUGGGGAGCGAACAGGAUUAGAUACCCCAGUAGUCC